rnacentral:rRNA from 1 species
GGGCCCGCACAAGCGGUGGAGCAUGUGGUUUAAUUCGAUGCAACGCGAAGAACCUUACCAAGCCUUGACAUCCUCGGAACUUUCCAGAAAUGGAUUGGUGCUCGAAAGAGAACCUGCACACAGGUGCUGCAUGGCUGUCGUCAGCUCGUGUCGUGAGAUGUUGGGUUAAGUCCCGCAACGAGCGCAACCCUUGUCAUUAGUUGCUACAUUUAGUUGAGCACUCUAAUGAGACUGCCGGUGACAAACCGGAGGAAGGUGGGGAUGACGUCAAGUCCUCAUGGCCCUUAUGGGUAGGGCUUCACACGUCAUACAAUGGUCGGUACAGAGGGUUGCCAAGCCGCGAGGUGGAGCCAAUCCCGGAAAACCGAUCGUAGUCCGGAUCGUAGUCUGCAACUCGACUACGUG